rnacentral:rRNA from 1 species
CAUAAUCAUUAGUCCUUUAAUUGUGGACUGGAAUGAACGGUCCGACUAAAUACUUUUGUCUUAUGUUUAUACUUCGAAUUUUAUUUUUUAAUAAAAAAGCUAAAAUAGUCUUAAGGGACGAGAAGACCCUAUCAAGCUUUACAAUUUAUUUAUUUAUUAACAAUUUAAAUAGUAUAUUGUUUCACUGGGGCAGUGGGUAAAAAGUUUUUAUUUAAAUAUUGUGAWAUUAUUUCUAGAGAAACCAAAAAUUUUUUAAGUAAGAAUAAGUUACUGUAGGGAUAACAGCAUAAUUUUUUUAAAGAGUUCUUAUCGUCAAAAAAGUUUGUGACCUCGAUGUUGGAUUAAAAUUCCUAAUUUACGCAGCAG